GAAUCUACAUAAUUUGUUUGGUGGGUAUUAGAGUGGCCACUUUAAGCGAAACUAUAUUUCGAAUCAUUAUUCAAUAUCAAUAUGAACUAUUAAAAAUCACGCUGAAUCAAAAAUACUAGUACCCAAAAUGUUUAUAAAUAUCCACGAAACAAUUGCUUUUCAUUGCGUGGUGGCAAAAGCAACCUUCUUCCUAUGUUGUAAAACUAGAGGCACCAUAUGUUUUGUUAACUGCAUUUUACCCCAUAUUUUUAAAUUUUAAACAUGUCGGCCAUGUGUGUUGAUAGUCAGGGUCAUCAGACACAUUCUUAAACUAAAUACCC
rnacentral:lncRNA from 1 species